rnacentral:rRNA from 1 species
GAUGAACGCUAGCGAUAGGCCUAACACAUGCAAGUCGAGGGGCAGCACAAGGUAGCUUGCUAUCUGUGUGGCGACCGGCGCACGGGUGCGUAACGCGUAUGCAACUUUCGCUAUACAGGAGGAUAACCCGUCGAAAGACGGACUAAUACUGCGUAUGCUCACAACUUGGCAUCAAGUGGUGAGGAAAGAAAUUCGGUAUAGGAUAGGCAUGCGUGCCAUUAGCUUGUUGGUGAGGUAACGGCUCACCAAGUCAACGAUGGGUAGGGGAACUGAGAGGUUUAUCCCCCACACUGGUACUGAGAAACGGACCAGAGUCAUACGGGAGGCAGCAGUGAGGGAUAUUGGUGAAUGGGAGCGAGCAUGAACCAGCCAAGUCGCGUGCAGGAUGACUGUCUUAUGGAUUGUAACCUUCUUUUAUACGGGCAUAACCAGAGUCACGUGUGACUCCGUGAAUGUAACGUAUGAAUAAGCAUCGGCUAACUCCGUG